GUGGGGAAUAUUGGGCAAUGGGCGCAAGCCUGACCCAGCAACGCCGCGUGAAGGAAGAAGGCUUUCGGGUUGUAAACUUCUUUUAUGAGGGACGAAGAAAAUGACGGUACCUCAUGAAUAAGCCCCGGCUAACUACGUGCCAGCAGCCGCGGUAAUACGUAGGGGGCGAGCGUUGCUCGGAUUGACUGGGCGUAAAGCGCGCGUAGGCGGUCCAUUAAGUGUGCGGUGAAAUUCGGAGGCUCAACCUCCGUCCCGCCGCGCAAACUGAUGGUCUUGAGAUUGGGAGGGGGAUGCGGAAUUCCUGGUGUAGCGGUGAAAUGCAUUGAUAUCAGGAGGAACACCGGCGGCGAAAGCGGCAUCCUGGCUUAUAUCUGACGCUGAGGCGCGAAAGCGUGGGUAGCAAACGGGAUUAGAUACCCGGGUAGUCC
rnacentral:rRNA from 1 species